rnacentral:rRNA from 1 species
UACGGGGGGUGCGAGCGUUGUCCGGAAUCACUGGGCGUAAAGAGCUCGUAGGCGGUUUGUCGCGUCUGCCGUGAAAGUCCGGGGCUCAACUCCGGAUCUGCGGUGGGUACGGGCAGACUAGAGUGAUGUAGGGGAGACUGGAAUUCCUGGUGUAGCGGUGAAAUGCGCAGAUAUCAGGAGGAACACCGGUGGCGAAGGCGGGUCUCUGGGCCGAUACUGACGCUGAGGAGCGAAAGCGUGGGGAGCGAACAGG